ACGGGAGGCAGCAGUGGGGGAUAUUGCACAAUGGGGGAAACCCUGAUGCAGCGACGCCGCGUGAGUGAAGAAGUAUUUCGGUAUGUAAAGCUCUAUCAGCAGGGAAGAAAAUGACGGUACCUGACUAAGAAGCCCCGGCUAACUACGUGCCAGCAGCCGCGGUAAUACGUAGGUGGCAAGCGUUAUCCGGAAUUAUUGGGCGUAAAGAGUGAGCAGGCGGCAUGGUAAGUUUGAAGUGAAAGCGUGGGGCUUAACCCCAUACAGCUUCGAAAACUGCCAGGCUAGAGUGCGGGAGAGGUAAACGGAACUCCAUGUGUAGCGGUGAAAUGCGUAGAUAUAUGGAAGAACACCAGUGGCGAAGGCGGUUUACUAGCCCGAUACUGACGCUCAGUCACGAAAGCGUGGGGAGCAAAUAGGAUUAGAUACCCUGGUA
rnacentral:rRNA from 1 species